UACGUAGGGUGCAAGCGUUGUCCGGAUUCAUUGGGCGUAAAGAGCUCGUAGGCGGCUUAGUAAGUCAGGUGUGAAACCUCCAGGCUCAACCUGGAGACGCCACUUGAUACUGCUAUGGCUUGAGUUUGGUAGGGGUAAGCGGAAUUCCUGGUGUAGCGGUGAAAUGCGCAGAUAUCAGGAAGAACACCCGUGGCGAAAGCGGCUCUCUGGAACGGUACUGACGCUGAGACGCGAAAGCGUGGGGAGCGAACAGG
rnacentral:rRNA from 1 species